GGCUUCGUUGCUCAGCUGGUAGAGUAUUUGCCGCAUGUGAACAUGUUGUUUCCGUCGCUCGUUCGAAUCCAGCCGAAGUCU